AGAGUUUGAUCAUGGCUCAGGACGAACGCUGGCGGCGUGCUUAACACAUGCAAGUCGAGCGGAAAGGCCCCUUCGGGGGUACUCGAGCGGCGAACGGGUGAGUAACACGCGAGUAACCUGCCCUCGACUCUGGGAUAAGCCUGGGAAACUGGGUCUAAUACCGGAUAUUCACCUCCUGUCGCAUGGUGGGGGGUGGAAAGUUCCCUCUUUUUUGGGGGUUCGGUCGGGGAUGGGCUCGCGGCCUAUCAGCUUGUUGGUGGGGUGACGGCCUACCAAGGCGACGACGGGUGGCCGGCCUGAGAGGGCGACCGGCCACACUGGGACUGAGACACGGCCCAGACUCCUACGGGAGGCAGCAGUGGGGAAUCUUGCGCAAUGGGCGAAAGCCUGACGCAGCGACGCCGCGUGGGGGAUGAAGGCCUUCGGGUUGUAAACCCCUUUCAGCACCGACGAAGUUUGGACGGUAGGUGCAGAAGAAGCGCCGGCUAACUACGUGCCAGCAGCCGCGGUAAUACGUAGGGCGCGAGCGUUGUCCGGAAUUAUUGGGCGUAAGGAGCUCGUAGGCGGCUUGUCGCGUCUGUCGUGAAAGCCCACGGCUUAACCGUGGGUUUGCGGUGGAUACGGGCAGGCUAGAGGCAGGUAGGGGAGCAUGGAAUUCCCGGUGUAGCGGUGAAAUGCGCAGAUAUCGGGAGGAACACCGGUGGCGAAGGCGGUGCUCUGGGCCUGUUCUGACGCUGAGGAGCGAAAGCGUGGGGAGCGAACAGGAUUAGAUACCCUGGUAGUCCACGCCGUAAACGUUGGGCGCUAGGUGUGGGGGUUCUUCCACGGAUUCCGCGCCGUAGCUAACGCAUUAAGCGCCCCGCCUGGGGAGUACGGCCGCAAGGCUAAAACUCAAAGGAAUUGACGG
rnacentral:rRNA from 1 species